GGUGAUUAGGGAACUGACAAGAAUCAGAGCCAUAGACACUCUCUGGAUUUGGCUGAGGAGGCCAUAUCUAGAAAAGAUAAUAGGCACCAUGGUUACAUUAAUGUCUAUCGUUUUAGGAUUGAAUUACCACAAACCUAAACAGGCUCAGCAACUGAAACCAUUGAAAAAAACUCAAAAUGAGGAAGCAAAGGCUGAGCAUGAAAUCUGAGCUUCUAAAGUGAGCACAGUUGCGCAGCAGCAAAGUUCAGUGCUGCAAAUGGCAAUACUGAAAUGUCAAGAAAUGGAGUCUUAAAAAGUCCUCCCAUGCAGACAGACCACUGUUUUAUUCAACUGGACAAAAGAUUCUUAAGUAAAUACAAGAAAUCUGGUAAAACUUUUUAAGGAGUUAAGUAAAUCUGUCAACGUAUUGAGUGAAUCAGGGUAAAUAAGCCAAAGAAAUAACAAUGUGUAAGGACAAACAUAAUAGAAGUUUCUUUCUUGCUCAUGGAAGAAGUGAGAAGAGAGAAAGACUGGAGGAGGAUAGGUUCUUCUUAAGCCAUGACCCAGAAACAGCACAGCAUGCACUCCAAUGUGGCUGACUGGAACUCAAACUCAGCCGCACCCAGCUCCAAACAAAUCUGGGAAAGAGGUUCUAGCUGAGAAGAAAAGAAAACAUGAAUUCUGAUUAACAGCUUGCACUCUCUGCUACAGGUAAGAUUUCCAGUUAUAUAAAUUCUACACCAGGACCAGCAGCAGAGUAGAAGUCUGACAGAAGGGAAAAGGGCUAUGCAUUGGCCCACCAGCCAUUUGCAGGUACCCUGCCCUGCCUGAUGCUCAACAAUGUCCCCAGUUUCUCACAAAGCUAACAAAGUACAAACAAGGGGCCAAGGUUUACUUCUCAGUGUCCAAUCCUUUAUGUCUAAUGCUUCUAAUUAGUAAAAGGGAUCAGUUGAAGGCAUACUGGCACUGUGAUAACACUAGAGAAAAAUGUUUGGCCAAAAUACAACAGAUCCAUUCCCUGUAACCUAUACGGUACCCUGGAAGAAUUUUCCAUUUGAAAAUCCUUAUACACCUUGGCAAUGAUUUGCAAUGAGCAAGAUUUUCAACCACAGAGAGUUUUAGGAACUCUAGACAUUGGGGCCUUUGGGCCCCAAACCAAUGUAAGUUGUACUCCUACUUUUUUCAUCAUUCUGGAAGGUGAUCCCUGACUUAGUCGCAAACUACUUUGAAAGUAGAGAAACCAUUGGGAAAGGAGAAAGUAAGGCUUGGCUGCUGGGCUUGGUGUUUAACUGAAAGGCAAUACUUCAGGAAAUUGUGAAACCACCCGUCGUUAAGUAGAUGGUGUGAAGAUGGAGAAUAUUAUCUAAAACUACUAUACUGAAAGAAAAAGUUACUCUUCAGCUACCAUUUGUGUCUCCAAUUCUUUGUGUGCCUAUUUCUCUUUUUCUCAAAAUGAGGGAGAAAUUGGAUCCCUAGAUUUAAUCUUUCCUUAGCUGGAUAAUAACAGAUUUAUCAUUUCAAUCGAAUUAUAUUUUUAAUGCAAGGGUCAUGGUAUUUUCAAGAGUAUUUUUGUGCAAGGAAUAUAAUGAUAUGCCAUGGAUUUCAAGCAGAACCAGAAGGGAAGGGAAGUCUGAAGGGGUUUUAGGAUAGCAGGAAUAUGGCAGGAAAGUAGAGGGAUGCCAACAGGCUGGCUGUUUUUGUUGGCAUUACGUAGGGGGAACCAAACCCAGAAAUAGACCUCAAACUUCAGAAAAAUUUCUGAUAAAGCUGGAUUGGGAAACGAGGCUUGGAUCUACAGCCACAGUGAGUUUGCUUCAAACUCUACACAUGCUGAUUUGAACUGACUUGCCCAACCACCUGCAAAGCAGGCUGAUCUGAGAGGGGGUUCCCAAGAGCACCCUGGAAGGAGUUAGAAGAGAGGGGAGAAGAAGGUAUGGAUU
ensembl:lncRNA